rnacentral:rRNA from 1 species
GAGUUUGAUCUUGGCUCAGAACGAACGCUGGCGGCAUGCCUAACACAUGCAAGUCGAACGAACUCUUCGGAGUUAGUGGCGCACGGGUGCGUAACGCGUGGGAAUCUGCCCUUGGGUACGGAAUAACUCAGAGAAAUUUGUGCUGAUACCGGUAUAAUGACUUCGGUCCAAAGAUUUAUCGCCCAAGGAUGAGCCCGCGUAAGAUUAGCUAGUUGGUGGGUAAAGGCCUACCAAGGCUACGAUCUUUAGCUGGUCUGAGAGGAUGAUCAGCCACACUGGGACUGAGACACGGCCCAGACUCCUACGGGAGGGCAGCAGUGGGGAAUAUUGGACAAUGGGCGAAAGCCUGAUCCAGCAAUGCCGCGUGAGUGAUGAAGGCCUUAGGGUUGCAAAAGC